rnacentral:rRNA from 1 species
CCUACGGGUGGCAGCAGUGGGGAAUAUUGGGCAAUGGGCGCAAGCCUGACCCAGCAACGCCGCGUGAAGGAAGAAGGCUUUCGGGUUGUAAACUUCUUUUCUCAGGGACGAAGAAAGUGACGGUACCUGACGAAUAAGCCACGGCUAACUACGUGCCAGCAGCCGCGGUAAUACGUAGGUGGCAAGCGUUAUCCGGAUUUACUGGGUGUAAAGGGCGUGUAGGCGGGAGCGCAAGUCAGAUGUGAAAACUCAGGGCUCAACCCGGGGCAUGCAUUUGAAACUGUGUUUCUUGAGUGCUGGAGAGGCAGACGGAAUUCCGAGUGUAGCGGUGAAAUGCGUAGAUAUACGGAGGAACACCAGUGGCGAAGGCGGACUGCUGGACAGUAACUGACGCUGAGGCGCGAAAGCGUGGGGAGCAAACAGGAUUAGAUACCCGUGUAGUC